AACGAACGCUGGCGGCAUGCCUAACACAUGCAAGUCGAACGAGACCUUCGGGUAUAGUGGCGCACGGGUUCGUAAGGGGUGGGAACAUUCCCUUAGGGUCGGAAUAACUCCCCGAAAGGGGUGCUAAUACGGGAUAAUGUCUUCGGACCAAAGAUUUAUCGCCUUUGGAUGGGCCCGCGUUGGAUUAGCUAGUUGGUAGCGUAAAAGCCUACCAAGGCUACGAUCCAUAGCUGGUCUGAGAGGAUGAUCAGCCACACUGGGACUGAGACACGGCCCAGACUCCUGCGGGAGGCAGCAAUGGGGAAUAUUGGACAAUGGGCGAAAGCCUGAUCCAGCAAUGCCGCGUGAGUGAUGAAGGCCUUAGGGUUGUAAAGCUCUUUUACACGGGAUGAUAAUGACAGUACCGGGAGAAUAAGCUCCGGCUAACUCCGUG
rnacentral:rRNA from 1 species